rnacentral:rRNA from 1 species
UACAGAGGGGGCAAGCGUUGUUCGGAAUUACUGGGCGUAAAGGGCUCGUAGGCGGCCAACUAAGUCAGACGUGAAAUCCCUCGGCUUAACCGGGGAACUGCGUCUGAUACUGGAUGGCUUGAGGUUGGGAGAGGGAUGCGGAAGUUCCAGGUGUAGCGGUGAAAUGCGUAGAUAUCUGGAGGAACACCGGUGGCGAAGGCGGCAUCCUGGCCGGCAUGACGCUGAGGCGCGAAAGCCAGGGGAGCAAAGCGGG